UUUUUUUCACGAUUGAAAAUUAAAGCUUUAAUUAUCCUACACUAUAUGCAUGAUUAUCGAAUGUCUACAUACAUACAUACACUGGAAUGACGAUGCUAAGAAGAAAAAAAGUUUAAUAUGGAAAAAGGGGGGACAUGAAAACUAUGACUUUAUGUACACUAGCUGUUCAUCAUAUGAAGAAAUAAAUAAAUAUUGUUGGCUUUUGUAUACUCAGGAAAAACAAGCUUAAUUUUGCCUGACUUACAAGAAUACUUUCAAUUUCCAAGAGUCCUUUUGUGCUUUGAAUCUUCCUAUAACCAUACUCCUCAGGCUUUUUUCUUUUUUUUUAGGUUUUAUUAUAUUCUACUUUGUAACGGCUGUGUUCCCAAACUAUGAAGUACAAUUUCAGCGAUAUACUACUAUUGGCUUAGUUUUGCAGGAUGAAGAACAGGAGACAUAAUGUCAAAAUGAUGGAAAACAUCAAAUUAACUGAAGUUUAUUGGAGGGUCCUCUCAUACCCAUGUUCAAGAAAGGCAACUGAUGUAUGUUGUCGUGAAAUGGUUCACAGCUGGAAAGGAAUUGUGCCAAAGGAUGAAACGUACCUCUGGUCUCAUCCACACUCAAGUUAGAAGAGAUUUAGGGAUCAUCUCCUCAUCUAUUCCUCCACCGCUGUUGCCUUCCUGGUCUACUGGCUGACCUUGAGAUGGGCUGAAGAAUGCCCUUGAA